rnacentral:lncRNA from 1 species
UCUCUCCGCGUCUUCCUUUGCGCGACGCGCCUUGUCGGCGCGUGUGUUACACGCGCUCUGCCUGGCAAACCAAAACGCGCCGCGUGGCUUCCCCGUCAGAUCUUAAACAUGUUGAAUCAAUUAAUCACCUCUCUCCUCUUCCCUCAAAUUCAAUAAGGCAUUGCAAUGGUUUCAACCUAUUGAAUUUCAGAUUCAAUAGGCCAUUGUACAUGGUCUAAGAAUGAAUGUUCCUUUUUUUUUUUUGGUCAAGAGAAUGAAUGUUCCUUAUCCCAUUAAAAAAUAUUCUUAUUCUCGUUUUAAUCGUAAAGAACAUAAUUUCAACUUGUCAAAAAAAAAAAAACAUAAUUUCAAAGAAAUUUAGAAUAAUUUGUGAACAGAAAUAUAUUUAGCCACACAUUCAAAAUAAUUAAACAUCGUAGAAUUAUUAAAAAAGUAUAGCAUUUAAUUAUUAUUUUUUACUUCACUUGUUCAAAUUUUUGUGUUCAUGCAAGAAUUACAUUGUUAUUUAUUCUGAAAAGCAACCACCUCCAAAUCAAUAGAACAAUUUUUAGAACAUUAUAACUAUUUUGCUUGACAAAAAAAAAUAAGGAAAGUCUUUUUAUCAUGUAUAAAUUUACAUAUGUUAAAAAAUUUACAAUAAAAAUUUUGUAUUUAAACAUUAAUAAUGAUAUCUUUAACAAAAAGAAGUCACCUAGUUAACAGAUUUCAUUAAUAAACAAAUUGUUUGAAAGAAUCGAGUUUGAUUUUGAGGGAGGGUUAAAAAAAAAAACCAAUUUAACAAAAAAACAGGAUGCUGACUGGAUAAUCGGAUAAGUUCAACAGUAAUACUACAUUAUGAAAUGAUGAAUUGGAUUAAUAUUAAACAAACAGAGCGAGAGCGAGGGGAUUGGGAGAUUAUAAUCACUGAAUCAAGCAAACUUUAUUAACAAAAAUCAACAUGAAUCCCAAUACUAAUAAUCAAUCCAUCACUUAUUUAUGAAAAUUAAAACAAAUAUACCUAUAACAAACAAUACUGAACUAGAACAAUGGCGGUGGCGCAUAACCCAAGAACGGCCUUCCUCCGCCGUAAGAAUCAGAGUAAUGAACGGUGUCUUUGACUUUGUGGAAACCAUUCUUGAAUACUCCGAAUCCAAACAGAAUUCCGAUCGUGAUCACAACCACAAUCAAGCAUAUGCAUAACGUGCAGAUUUUGCCUGGACAACACAUCUCGAAUGAACGAUCGGUCAAUGCAGCAAACUUUCGUUUUUUUCAGAUCUGAGAAGUUGCGGAGAGAAUUGUGAAUUUAAAUGUGGAGAAAGAGAAGAAGAAGUGGAUUGAAACGUUUUUUUUGCUUAUAAGGAAAGCUAUUUAUUAUUUAUUUAUCAAUUUAAAACAAUAUUCUCCGUUAAAAAGGAAAAUAAAUAUCUUUUUCUCAACUUUUUUCCGGGCGUAGCUCAGGAAACAUUUUCUUU